UACAGAGGGUGCAAGCGUUGUCCGGAAUCACUGGGCGUAAAGGGCGCGUAGGCGGCCUGUUAAGUCGGGGGUGAAAUUCUGCGGCUUAACCGCAGGACGGCCUUCGAGACUGUCGGGCUCGAGCACGGUAGAGGCUGGUGGAAUUCCCGGUGUAGCGGUGGAAUGCGUAGAGAUCGGGAAGAACAUCGGUGGCGAAGGCGGCCAGCUGGGCCGUUGCUGACGCUGAGGCGCGACAGCGUGGGGAGCAAACAGG
rnacentral:rRNA from 1 species